rnacentral:rRNA from 1 species
CCGGGGAACAUCGAGUCUUUGAACGCAAGUUGCGCCCGAUGCCAUUAGGUUGAGGGCACGUCUGCCUGGGUGUCACAUAUCGAAGCCUCCUUGCCAAUUUCCCUGAUUAUUGUGCAGGGUGGAUGUUGGCCUCCCGUGAGCUCUUUCGUCUCAUGGUUGGUUGAAAAUUGAGACCUUGGUAGGGUGUGCCAUGAUAGAUGGUGGUUGUGUGACCCACGAGACCAAUCAUGCGCUGCUCUAUUGAAUUUGGCCUCCUUUACCCAUAUGCGUUUCCAAACGCUCGUGAUGAGACCUCAGGUCAGGCGGGGCUACCCGCUGAAUUUAAGCAUAUCAAUAAGCGGAGGAAAAGAAACUAACAAGGAUUCCCUUAGUAACGGCGAGCGAACCGGGAUAAGCCCACCAUGAGAAUCGGUCGCCCUCGGCGUUCGAAUUGUAUCGAAAAAAAACGUCAAAAGUGGAAA